UCACGUUUGCCUUUCAAGCGUCGAAAC
rnacentral:sRNA from 1 species